ensembl:lncRNA
GUGAACAUGACGUGGCUGAAACGAUUUCCAAAACACUUCAGGAGCAGCUAGCGAUAAAGAUUAAGAUGCCGCUCCAUCAGAAUCUGAGAGUUAUUUUUUGCGUGAAGAACGUGGAGGAGCUCCAGAGAGAGGCCACGUCAUCCUGCUCCAUCUCCUCAUCCUCAGAGCAUACUUCUCCCUCCUCACAUAGUGCCCCACACGAAUUUAUGGAGAUACUAGAGAUCCAGAUCCUUUCUGCCUCUGGAUGGAGCUCAAAUCUUCUCUAAUUCCAGACUGCUGGGACUACGGCUGCUCCUAACGCCAUACAGACUUCAUAUGAAUCCAUAAUGAACUUUUUCACAAUAUCUGUUGUUACCCAGAUGAGGAUGGGUUCCCUUCUGAGUCGGUUCCUCUCAAGGUUUCUUCCUCUUAAAACAUCUUAGGGAGUUUUUCCUUGCCACCGUCGCCACUCAGUGGCUUGCUCAGUUGGGAUAAAUUCACACCUUUAAUAUCUGUAUACCGUGUUGAUAUUUCUGUAAAGCUGCUUUGAGACAAUGUCUAUUGUAAAAAGCGCUAUACAAAUAAAAUUGAAUUGAAAUU